rnacentral:lncRNA from 1 species
UCUGUGGUUUAGAGUUGACUCACAGCUCCUCACUCGUGUGUUUGUUCGUCAGCGAGUACGCGGUGAGGGAACGCCGCGACAGCUCCUCGGAGCGGGGGCGCCGCAGCCAGAGCCAGGACGGCUGCAGCCCCGACAGCGCCUGUUCGCUCGGAUACGACAGCAGGGAGUCCAUCCCGGACUGCAGCCCGGACUGGGGGCCUCUCGGAAAACCGGAGCCGAGCAGCUACGGAGAGUCUCGUAACCGCAGCAGCUCUGAGGAGGAAGAGGAGGAUGAGAAAGAGGAAACGCCGGAGGCGGUGACGAGUUUGGACGAAGCUCUGAGGAGAGUCAACGCCGACCACGGCCAGCAGGACUUCCUGAAGGAGAACUACGAGACGCUGGGAGAAAGCUGCGGCAUUGAGCAGAACUGCGCCCAAAGGGUCAGCAUCUCCUCGCGCUUCCUGUCCAGAGGACGCCAUGACAGAA